UAUUUUAUUCAUUUUCAACAGCAUAAGAUAGAUUUAAUUUUUAUGGUAAACUUUAAAUGCCACCUCUGUGAUUUCAUGCUUUCUCAUUUUAGUAUUUUAUGGUUUGAAGUAUAUCCUUUAGUACGCUGUGGACUGUGGUUUUAUUUUUCUCUUUCUGUCAGUAACUCCGUUAACUCUCAAUUAAAUCAUAUAUAGAAUACUUCAGAUACUUCAUCUAUGGUUUAUUGGAUAUUCACUUUAGUACUCCAUAGUUUACCGAAUUCUCACUUUAGUAUUUUAUGGUUUUAACUUUGUCACUAAUUUAACGAAAAAUUAACAGAGAGGAUAACGAAAAGAAAAAAACGAAACUAUAGGAUACUAAAGUGAUAUAUUUUAAACCACGGGGUACUAAAAUGAGAAAACGCGAAACCACACAAAAGUUUUCCCCUAUUUUUAUGUUUGAUGUAUUUCGAAUUUUAAAAUUGUAAGGUUUUCUAACCUAGCUAUUACAGGGAUAGGUACAAGUAUGGGGGUAAGAAAAAUAGUGUUUGGAUGAAAAUUGGAUUGUUCCCGGAGAUAAGAACAAUUUUAGGUAGUUUUAUAUAGAAAAGAAGGUGUUGGUGGGGAUAACCGAGAACUACUAUUCUCGGAUAAAAAAUUAACGUUUGGGUAUAAAGAGGGGGAUAAGGGUCUAUUCCUAUCCCUAUUCCCUAACCGUAGUUAGGAUCAUGUGUAAUCUUAUUAAGAUUAUUUUUAAUAUUAUUGGCUAAGAUAAAUAUAUUUUUUAUUCUAUCAAUUUUGUGCGGUGGCAUAUUAGGGGGAAUAUAAGGCCCCGUUUGGUUCGGGGGAUAAGCGGGGAUAACUUUCGCUAUUCCGCCAAACGGGGUCAUUUUUUGUCAGGAUAUUUUAUCCCGGUCAAAGCUUACUAUUCCCGCUUAUCCCGGAAUAGCAAGCUUUUUACUAUUCCACCAUUUUGGUGGAAUAGUGCUAUUCCAAUGCUUAAUUUCAAACUUAAUUAAAAUUAUAAAAUGAAUUAAAACUAAAUUAUAUAAAUAUAAUAUAUUAUAUAUUAUAAUACAUUAUUUUUAUUAUAAAAUUAUUAAUUGUACUAUAUUAAUACAUAUUAUUUAUAUUUAAAUAUUAUAAUAAAAUUUAUAAUAA
rnacentral:lncRNA from 1 species